rnacentral:lncRNA from 1 species
AAGCAGUGGAUACAUCAUCCUCAGAAGGAAUUACAAGAUCAACGUCUUCUUGAAAACCAAUGGCACCCAAACUCUCAGGGAGACUGGAUAUUUUCUGAGGUAAGGACGCAAUAGUUCUAAAACCAGGUGUCUCGAGAUCAUUUGACUGAGCUUUAGCAUCAAGAGGUGACAUUAAAACCAGUUCUAUACUAUUUUCAUUCAUAGCAGAUUCUUCGGCGACAGGUAUCACUUGCUCUUUUUUAAGAGGAAAUUCAGAAGUAGGUGUUUCUAAUUGCCUGCAAAUCUCUUUAUUGACCAUUUCUGAAACAGCAAGAGCAUUUUUAGUUUCAAGAGAAGAAACAGUUAUUGCGUCGGAUUUGUUUUUCAUGGGAAUAUCAGAAUCUCCAUUUUCAUCUGCCAAUGAUUUUUCAACAAUAUCAGCUGCAACAAGAAUAUUUUUAACCUCGACAUUAUCGCUGUGUUUUCCUUUCUUUUUCUUCUUACGACGUUUACUUCUGUCAUUAUUGGCUAAAGGAGCAGUGGAUACAUCAUCCUCAGAAGGAAUUACAAGAUCAACGUCUUCUUGAAAAUCAAUGGUACCCAAACUCUCAGGGAGACUGGAUAUUUUCUGAGGUAAGGACGCAAUAGUUCUAAAACCAGGUGUCUCGAGAUCAUUUGACUGAGCUUUAGCAUCAAGAGGUGACGUCAAAACCAGUUCUAUACUAUUUUCAUUCAUAGCAGAUUCUUCGGCGACAGGUAUCACUUGCUCUUUUUCAAGAGGAAAUUCAGAAGUAGGUGUUUCUAAUAGCCUGCAAAUCUCUUUAUUGACCUUUUCUGAAACAGCAAGAGCAUUUUUAGUUUCAAGAGAAAAAACAGUUAUUGUGUCGGAUUUGUUUUUCAUGGGAAUAUCAGAAUCUCCAUUUUCAUCUGCCAAUGAUUUUUCAACAUUAUCAGCUGCAACAAGAAUAUUUUUAACCUCGACAUUAUCGCUGUGUUUUCCUUUCUUUUUCUUCUUACGACGUUUACUUCUGUCAUUAUUGACUAAAGGAGCGGUGGAUACAUCAUCCUCAGAAGGAAUUACAAGAUCAACGUCUUCUUGAAAACCAAUGGUACCCAAACUCUCAGGGAGACUGGAUAUUUUCUGAGGUAAGGACGCAAUAGUUCUAAAACCAGGUGUCUCGAGAUCAUUUGACUGAGCUUUAGCAUCAAGAGGUGACGUCAAAACCAGUUUUAUACUAUUUUCAUUCAUAGCAGAUUCUUCGGCGACAGGUAUCACUUGCUCUUUCUCAAGAGGAAAUUCAGAAGUAGGUGUUUCUAAUUGCCUGCAAAUCUCUUUAUUGACCUUUUCUGAAAUAGCAAGAGCAUUUUUAGUUUCAAGAGAAGAAACAGUUAUUGUGUCGGAUUUGUUUUUAAUGGGAAUAUCAGAAUCUC